GGGCCCGCACAAGCGGUGGAGCAUGUGGUUUAAUUCGAAGCAACGCGAAGAACCUUACCAGGUCUUGACAUCCCACUGACCGGCUUAGAGAUAGGCUUUUCCCUUCGGGGACAGUGGUGACAGGUGGUGCAUGGUUGUCGUCAGCUCGUGUCGUGAGAUGUUGGGUUAAGUCCCGCAACGAGCGCAACCCUUGAUCUUAGUUGCCAGCAUUCAGUUGGGCACUCUAAGGUGACUGCCGGUGAUAAACCGGAGGAAGGUGGGGAUGACGUCAAAUCAUCAUGCCCCUUAUGACCUGGGCUACACACGUGCUACAAUGGACGAUACAAAGGGCUGCAAACCCGCGAGGGGGAGCCAAUCCCAUAAAAUCGUUCUCAGUUCGGAUUGUAGGCUGCAACUCGCCUACAUGAAGCCGGAAUCGCUAGUAAUCGUAGAUCAGCAUGCUACGGUGAAUACGUUCCCGGGCCUUGUACACACCGCCCGUCACACCACGAAAGUUUGUAACACCCAAAGUCGGUGAGGUAACCGCAAGGAGCCAGCCGCCUAAGGUGGGACAGAUGAUUGGGGUG
rnacentral:rRNA from 1 species